rnacentral:antisense_RNA from 1 species
CUUCACCGAUCCGAGCCACAAGGGACGGUCCUCGGGCCGGUCCCGCCCGUAGGUGGCGAGCAGCGCCUCUUC